GGAAAACUUAAAGUUACCAAAAGGAAAGUUAAUCAAAGUCCCUCAAAGGGAAUUCAGAAUCGACAGAACUGAGCUCUGAGUAAGGACACAGAGCAGAAAGCCCAAAACUUUCUCAGUUUCUGGUAUUCUUCAUGUCUUGUGUCUCGAUAAUUCUCCUCUGUGCCUGAAGGCAAACAAGCAAACACCCACAGUAACAAACUGAACUCUUAACGUGUUAACACAGUAGCUAAAUCCAAGCAACUUAUAAGUAUUUGUUCUAAUAAGUAAAGAGCACUUUUCAACCUAAGUUGAAAAUACUUUUACUUUACUCUUAAAUAAUCACAGUUGUUUACUAAUGGGGAGUGUGUACCUGCUGGACACCACUGUCUCCAACCUUGAAAUCAGAAUAGGGACUGCCACCUUGAUUUCCUGUUCCAUGUUGACUUUUGCUUAAUCCUUGCUUUUUAUCACAGUAACCACCGAAACCCAGAUUUGUGAGGCUGUGACUUCAUCGAGAAAAGAGCUGUACAAUCUAAUGUUGAACCAGGAACUACUUUGAAUUAGUAGUUUGCCUGGUAAUGAGGAGGUAUCAAGAAUUGCUGCAUUAUUACACAUUGUGCAAAUAUUCCAAGACAGCCUAAGCAGCCCAAAUCAGAACAAUGCCACAUGAAAAACCUGAUUUGCAACUUCUGAAGGAGGUCAAAAGUGAAUCAUCACCACCGGGCAUGGUGGUGCAUGCCUGUAAUCCCCAGCACUUGGGAGGCUGAGGCAGGAGGAUCCCCAUGAGUUUGAAGCCAGCCUGGAAUACAUAGUGAGUUCAAGGCCAGCCAACUACAUAGUGAGAACCUGUUUCAAAAAGCCAAAAAAAGGUGAAUUACCAGAUUACUCAUGCAUGGGUGAUGAAAAUGAUAAUGACAUUGGCCAUGUGAGCCAAAGUUCCUGUGACAAUGAAAUGGAGCAAAAAUUGACAGAUACAAACACAAGGAAUGCAGACCUCCUUGAUUCAGAUCACGAAGAAAACAGCAAUAGUGCAGGUUGACCAGUGCAGGAACUGUAUGCAGGAACAUAGCAGAAAUUCCAAAUGAAAUGUUGUGAUUUCCAAGCAGAGAAUUGUAUAGUACAAUCUUUGGAUUUCAGAAAGAUUUACAUUGGCCUUGUAUAUGGCACAGAAAAACAAACAGGUACUGAUGAUGUCAACAUUGAACCAUAACGGAAAUACUGGUAUGGAAACCUCCACAAAAUGGAAGCCUGGGAUAGAAACUUUCAACAAAACCAAAGGGGAGAUGUUAUUGACGAGUUAUGCAGUAAUGAUGAUGUCACUUGAAACACAAAACAUUGCCCAAUGGUUGUGUUUUACUCGAUCCUAAACAUGUAUGGCAUAAAUACUUUACAAGAAAAAUAACAAGUGCAAAAUACCAUGGAGAAAUUUUCUUAGAGGAUUAGGACUGGAACUCAUAAGAGAUCAUUUACCGCAGAGGAAAAACAAAAUCUUUCUGCUCAGGGAAUUAUACAAAAAAAUUAUGGAGCACACUGGUGAGCUGACAGGUGAACAGGUAGGCACAGCAUCACAAAGACCUACUAUGAUAACAGGAAAACCAAAAAGAUGUCAACUGUACCCUACAAUUAAGUACAGGAAAAACAUAUGCGCUAUCAGUAUAAGGAAUACUUAUGUAUGGAGCAUGCAGUUUUCAUGUGUGAAGAUUCCCUUGGGUGUGACAGUUGAAGCAAAGAUUAUUUCUGUGGUAGACUUUUGUUUCUAUUUAGGUUGUAGUUCACAUAGGUUUUUAUUUCUGAUGUUAUAGUUUAGGUUUUGUAAGCAAGUAAAGAGCUGAUGUGAAGAUGGUGAUGACUAUUCUAAGCGCUCAUUAUAUAUUUGAUAUUUUAUCUUAUUGAUGUCUUAUUUUCUUGCUAAAUGCACAUUGUACAAUAUAGUAGGAAGCUUCUGACAAAAUAGGAAGAGAACCGAGAUGACAAGAAUGGCCUGCCACAUAGGGAAGGGAAUCUAAGCACAUGUACUGUCAGUUUAAGCGAGAUGUGUGCAUGGAACAUGCAGUUGUCAUGUGUGAAGACUGCCUUCAGUGUGACAGCUGAAGCAUAGAUUAUUUUUAUUGUAGAAUUCUAUUGGUAUUUUCAUUGUAGUUCAUACAGGAAUUCAUUUCUGAUGUUAAGUUUUAGGUUUUUUAGGCAAAUACACAGCUGAUGUGAGAAUGUUGAUGUUUAUUCUAAAUGCACAAUGCAUAUUAAGAAUUGUAUACUUUAUUUUAUUGAUAUUUUAUGUUCCUGUUAACUAUCCACUGUAUAAUAUAAUAAGAACCUCCUGACAAAACAGAAAGACCACGGAGAUGUCAAGUAUGUCUUACAAAAAGGUCAGGAAAGCAAAACAUAUGUGCUGUCAGUGUAAGUGAUACGUGUGUAUGGAAUGUGGUGUUGUCACAUGUGGAGACUACCUUAGGUGUGAUAAUUGAAGUAAAGAUUUUUUUUUUGUAGAGUGAUAUUGGUAUUUUCAUUGUAGUUCAUAUAGGAAUUUAUUUGUUGUACUUUUUUAGACUUUAUACACCAAAAAAUAGUCGAUGUUGAAAGUUUGAUGCUUUUUUAUAAACAAUAAAUAUUAAAAAUUCAAUACAAUGACAUUCAUCAUUGGAAAUUUGCAACUUUACAUAGUCUCUCUUGGUUCUUAUUUUUCACCCUUCCCCAGCCCUCCCUUCAACCCCUCCAUUCCUCCCUAUUUACAAAGAUUUUGUUCCUAUUUUUCCUUUUUCUCAUCUUAAUCCCGUUCCCUUCUAUCCUUUCCCCUACCCCUCCCACUUCCUUCCUCUUUUCCCCUUUUCUUCCUAUUUCACAUUACCUAUUAUACAUUUAGUCCUUAUUUACACUUUCAGUUUCUCACACCAGAGAAACUAUUCGGUAUUUAUUCAUGUGUGUCCUAUUUAUUUCACUUAAGAGUAUAUUGUAUACCUAAAAUGUAC
rnacentral:lncRNA from 1 species